CGUAGUUUGAUCAGUGGCCUCAGACGAACGCUGGCGGCGUGCCUAAUACAUGCAAGUCGAGCGAGCUGAAUUCAGAGAUCCCUUCGGGGUGAUUUGUUGGACGCUAGCGGCGGAUGGGUGAGUAACACGUGGGCAAUCUGCCCUAAAGACUGGGAUACCACUUGGAAACAGGUGCUAAUACCGGAUAACAACAUGAAUCGCAUGAUUCAAGUUUGAAAGGCGGCGCAAGCUGUCACUUUAGGAUGAGCCCGCGGCGCAUUAGCUAGUUGGUGGGGUAAAGGCCCACCAAGGCGACGAUCGGUAGCCGACCUGAGAGGGUGAUCGGCCACAUUGGAACUGAGAAACGGUCCAGACUCCUACGGGAGGCAGCAGUGGGGAAUAUUGGGCAAUGGGCGAAAGCCUGACCCAGCAACGCCGCGUGAGGGAAGAAGGGUUUCGGCUCGUAAACCUCUGUCCUAUGGGACGAAGGAAGUGACGGUACCAUAGGAGGAAGCCCCGGCUAACUACGUG
rnacentral:rRNA from 1 species